GACGUAGGGCGCGAGCGUUGUCCGGAUUUAUUGGGCGUAAAGAGCUCGUAGGCGGCUUGUCGCGUCGACUGUGAAAACCCGCGGCUCAACUGUGGGCUUGCAGUCGAUACGGGCAGGCUAGAGUUCGGUAGGGGAGACUGGAAUUCCUGGUGUAGCGGUGAAAUGCGCAGAUAUCAGGAGGAACACCGGUGGCGAAGGCGGGUCUCUGGGCCGAUACUGACGCUGAGGAGCGAAAGCGUGGGGAGCGAACAGG
rnacentral:rRNA from 1 species